rnacentral:miRNA from 1 species
CCUUUCCUGGGACACAUUUAUUUU